UUUUUGUGGAGGGUUCGAUUCUGGCUCAGGAUGAACGCUGGCGGCGUGCUUAACACAUGCAAGUCGAACGGGAUCCGGCCAGCUUGCUGGUUGGUGAGAGUGGCGAACGGGUGAGUAAUGCGUGACCGACCUGCCCCAUGCUCCGGAAUAGCUCCUGGAAACGGGUGGUAAUGCCGGAUGGUCCAGCAUGCUGCAUGGCGUGUUGGGAAAGAUUUAUCGGCGUGGGAUGGGGUCGCGUCCUAUCAGCUUGACGGUGGGGUGAUGGCCUACCGUGGCUUCGACGGGUAGCCGGCCUGAGAGGGCGACCGGCCACAUUGGGACUGAGAUACGGCCCAGACUCCUACGGGAGGCAGCAGUGGGGAAUAUUGCACAAUGGGCGCAAGCCUGAUGCAGCGACGCCGCGUGAGGGAUGGAGGCCUUCGGGUUGUAAACCUCUUUUAGCAGGGAGCAAGGCUUCGGUUGAGUGUACCUGUUGAAUAAGCACCGGCUAACUACGUGCCAGCAGCCGCGGUAAUACGUAGGGUGCAAGCGUUAUCCGGAAUUAUUGGGCGUAAAGGGCUCGUAGGCGGUUCGUCGCGUCUGGUGUGAAAGUCCAUCGCUUAACGGUGGAUCUGCGCCGGGUACGGGCGGGCUGGAGUGCGGUAGGGGAGACUGGAAUUCCCGGUGUAACGGUGGAAUGUGUAGAUAUCGGGAAGAACACCAAUGGCGAAGGCAGGUCUCUGGGCCGUUACUGACGCUGAGGAGCGAAAGCGUGGGGAGCGAACAGGAUUAGAUACCCUGGUAGUCCACGCCGUAAACGGUGGACGCUGGAUGUGGGGCCCAUUCCACGGGUUCCGUGUCGGAGCUAACGCGUUAAGCGUCCCGCCUGGGGAGUACGGCCGCAAGGCUAAAACUCAAAGAAAUUGACGGGGGCCCGCACAAGCGGCGGAGCAUGCGGAUUAAUUCGAUGCAACGCGAAGAACCUUACCUGGGCUUGACAUGUUCCCGACGGCCCCAGAGAUGGGGCUUCCCUUCGGGGCGGGUUCACAGGUGGUGCAUGGUCGUCGUCAGCUCGUGUCGUGAGAUGUUGGGUUAAGUCCCGCAACGAGCGCAACCCUCGCCCCGUGUUGCCAGCAUUUUGGAUGGGAACUCACGGGGGACCGCCGGGGUUAACUCGGAGGAAGGUGGGGAUGACGUCAGAUCAUCAUGCCCCUUACGUCCAGGGCUUCACGCAUGCUACAAUGGCCGGUACAACGGGAUGCGACAUGGCGACAUGGAGCGGAUCCCUGAAAACCGGUCUCAGUUCGGAUUGGAGUCUGCAACCCGACUCCAUGAAGGCGGAGUCGCUAGUAAUCGCGAAUCAGCAACGUCGCGGUGAAUGCGUUCCCGGGCCUUGUACACACCGCCCGUCAAGUCAUGAAAGUGGGCAGCACCCGAAGCCGGUGGCCUAACCCGUGAGGGGUGGAGCCGUCUAAGGUGAGGCUCGUGAUUGGGACUAAGUCGUAACAAGGUAGCCGUACCGGAAGGUGCGGCUGGAUCACCUCCUUUCU
rnacentral:rRNA from 1 species